rnacentral:lncRNA from 1 species
GCCGUCCGAUUCGGUUGUACGUGUCCUUACCAUCUGUGAGAGAAUAGAAUAACAGAAAUUUAGUUUUCGGAAUCAAAAAAUUCGCACGAUAGGAUACAAGAAAGUGAAAUUUUCCUAAGGGUUCUACAACCUAUCACAGAUAAGUAUAGACGUCUCCGUACCAAUCCCCAAGACUCUACAAAACCUGCUCAUGACUCGUGAGACCUAUAUAACCUAGGCUCUGAUACCAUCUUGUCAUGACCCAAAAUCUCACCCGUCGUGAUUGCGCCUAUCUCAAUACUAGGCAAGUCAAAAAUCUCAAUAAACCACAUAUCUUUUAAAUUUGAAAAUAUAAUGAUUAAGUUCAGCGGAAGAAAUUUCACAAAUACAAAUAUAAAUACUCCCAAAACUCGAUGUCACCGAGUAUAUGAGCAUCUAAUAUGUUUACAAGUCUAGAAAAUACGGUCUAUAAUAGUGUGAGACUAAAUACAGUAAAUAAGGAGAUAGGGAAGGAGAGACAAGGUCUGCGAAACACGAUAAUUACCUCUGAUUCUCCGAAAAAUCAACAGUGUGAAAGAAUCAACACCCACUAUGACCGGGAACACCUGGAUCUGCACAUAAAGUACAAGGUAUAGUAUGAGUACAACCAACUAAGUAAGUAAUAAUAAUAAAUAAAGAACUGAAGAUAGUGAAGACCUACACAGUUAUAGUUCACUUUCAGUAAUUCUAGCAAAGAAUAUACAUGCUUUCAAAUCCAGCAGUUUAAGUCAAUUCAAUUUUAUACAGUUCAAGUUCAUGUAAUCCGGAUAUAAAAUCUUUCAGAGAAUUUCACAACAAUGACAGAUAGUAACUAAGUGCAACAACAAAUGAAAAGCAAGUACAACCUCUUAGGGCAACAAUCACUCAACUCAUCACAACAGCUCAACCACUCGGCUCUCAGUCCUCAGCACUCACACUCAAUGGGUACCCGCGCUCACUCGGGGUGUACAGACUUCAGAGGGGCUCCUAUAGCCCUAGCGCUAUAAUCUGCACGGAUAACUCAUGCGCUGCACGAACAACUCACGUGCCAUAGUAUAAAUAUAUGGAUCCGCACGAACAACUCACGUGCUGCACGGAUAACUCACGUGCUAUAGUAUAAUAUAAGGAUCCACACAGACAACUCACAUGGUGCACGGACAACUCACGUGCUAUAAUAUAAUAUCUAACAAUCAGGCCCUCGGCCUCACUCAGUCAUAAAUCUCCUCAGUCUUUCGGGCUCUCAAUAGUCAUGAUACUCAGCCCAAAUAACAAUAAUAUGAUGCAUCAAUAAUGAACAAUAGAGACUGAGAUAAAAUAAACAAGUAAACUGUGACUGAGUACAAAUAAUAAUUUAGCAGAUAAUUCAACAUGUACAAGAUCUCUGUGGUCUUUACAGCACCAACACAUAGCCUGAGCAUGCUUCACUGUCAAAUCUUUAUAGCACAAAAAGGGCACAUAGCUAACGACAAGAUUAUUCAACUUUCCAGUUUUACGGAAUGGACCAAGUCCCAAUUCCCACGGUGCAUGCCCACACGCCCAUGACCUAGCAUGUGCGUCACCUCCAAAAUACUCACAUAAUACAAUAAUUUGCGGUUUCAUACCCUCAAGGCGAGAUUUAAAACUGUUACUUACCUCAAACCGUGUAAUUCCUUAUUCUGCAAUGUCUUUUCCUCAUGAAUUGGCCUCCAAACGUCUCAAAUCUAGUCACAAAUAAUUCGAUUUAAUGAAUACAAUUUAUUGGAAUUAAUUCCAUAAGAAAAUGCAAGUUUUCCAUAAAAAUCUAAAUUUUAGCUCAAAAAUCGCCCGUGGGGCCCACGUCUCAGAAUCCAACAAAAGCUAUAAAAUUCGAAAGCCCAUUCAACCACGAGUCUAACCAAACCAACUUUACCAAAGUCCGACCUCAACUCGACCUCCAAAUCCUCAAAUCUUAUUUUCAAAUCCCUAAGUUCAAAUCACCGAUUUACACCUCAAAAACAUGUAAUCUAGUAGGAUUAUUCGAUGAUAAUUCAAUAUUAUUAAGUAGAAAUGAUCACAAGUGACUUACCUUAAGAUUUCCCGUGAAAACCUCGCUCACAAUCGCCCGACCCGAGCUUGAAAUGCCCAAAAAUGGCAAAAGCUCGGAACCCCUCUGUUUUUGUACUGCCCAGGGGUUUCCGCUUCUGCUGGAUUUUGUGCGCUACUACGGACACGCUUUCGCGAGGAGCUGUCCGCUUCUGCGAAGAUGCCUUACCAAGCGCCUUUGCACUUCUGCGAUCAAACGCCUGCAGGUGCGGGGCCACUUCUGCAGCUACCUGCCGCUUCUGCGAUCGAAGCCCCAGCCACGCUUGGACGCAUCUGCGAUGGAAGGUUCGCUUCUACGAGCUCGCACCUGUGAUGGAAAUUCCGCAGGUGCGAUUACAUCAGAUGGCAAAAAACUUCAGAUUUUUUUCUAAGUCCAAAUUUGAUCCGCUAACCCUCCUAAACUCACCCGAGGCCCCUGGGACCUCAAUCAAAUAUACCAUCAAGUCCGAAAACACCAUACGAACUUAGUCGAAACCUCAAAUUACCUCAAACAACGCUAAAACCACGAAUCAUACCCCAAUUCAACCCUAAUGAACUUUGAAAUUUCAAGUUUCCACAAACGACGCCAGAACCUAUCAAAUCACAUGCGAUUGACCUCAAAUUUUGCACACAAGUCAUAAAUGACAUAAGAGAGGUAUUCUAAUUUUUAGAAUCGGAUUCCUACCCCAAUAUCAAAAAGUCAACCCCCCAGUCAAACUUCCCAAAAAUUCAACUUUCACAAUUUCAAGCCUAAUUCCUCUACCGACCUCCAAAUAAUUUUCUGGACACGCUCCCAAGUCCAAAAUCACCAUACAGAGCUAUUAAAAUCAUCAAAAUUCAAAUCCGAGGUCGUUUACACAUAAGUUCACAUUCGGUCCACUUUUCUAACUUAAAUUUUCAAUUAUGAGACUAAGUGUCUCCUUUCACUAUGAAUUCCUCCCGGACCCGAACCAACUAACCCGGUAAGUCAUAAAAUAACUGUAAAGCAUAUAUUGAGCAGUGAAUGGGAGAACAAGGUUAUUAUACUCAAAAUGUCGUUAUAGCCUCGUAGUCCCAAAAGUAAAUAUACAGUACAGGUAGUCGGAGGAACAAUAAAUUUUCAGCAAGAAAUCUUAUAGUUUAAGAUUUAAAUCAAAUCAAGGAAAUAUCUAAUUCAGCUAAGCAUGUUGCACAUAUUGCACGUAAGAGUUAAGGCACAUAGACAUGUGAUACUAGGCUAAACAUGAUAACUACAUAUGCUAAGGCAACUCAGUUAAAGAAUUUAAUAGAAGACUACUCAUCAAGAACUGAUAUUUCCAAAUUUAGCCCGUGUACGCACUCGUCACCUCGCGUACAUGACGCUUACAUAUCACUCACAGGGGAUUUCCCCCCACAGGGUUAGACAAGCCACUUACCUCAAGCCAAGCUCAAUCAGUCAAUAAGAAUGCCUUUCCCUCGAUUUUUUGACUCCGAUCAGCUCGAAUCAAGUCACAAUUAAUUCGAUUCAGUCAAUACAAAUUAUAGGAAUUAAUUUNNNNNNNNNNNNNNNNNNNNNNNNNCAACAAAAGCCCGAAAUUUAACUCAAAAUUGCCCGUGUGGACCAUGUCUCAGAACCCUACAAAAGUUACAAAAUAUGAACUCCCAUUCAACCACGAGUCCAACCAUACCAAUUUUACCAAAUUCUGACAUCAACUCAACCUCCAAAUCUCAAAUUCUUAUUUUGAAAUUCCUAGGCCCAAAUCCUCUAAUUUCACCUCAAAAGCAUGUAAUCUAAUCGAAAUACUCAAAGACAAUCUAAUAUUAUUGACUAACAAUGAUUACAAGUGACUUACCUCAAGUUUUCCCGUGAAUUCUCUCUGAUAAUCGCCUCAAAAUCGUGUUGGAAAUGUCCAAAAAUGACAAAAACUCGGAGCCCUCUAUUUUUGUACACUACCCAGAGGUUCCGCUUAUGUGGAAUUUUUAACUGCAUCUAGAGUUCCGCUUUUGCAUUAAAUCUCCCGCUUCUAUGACAACCUUUGCUUCUGCGGACUCGCUUCUGCGAUGAAGCGUCUGUUUCUGCGGUCCAAGGCCCCCUUAGCCCAGGCCGCAUCUGCGACCAUUGCGUCGUUUCUGCGGUCGCGCUUCUGCGAUGCCUCAUCCUCUUCUGCGGACCAUCCACUUCUGCGAUGCCAGAUUCGCUUCUGCGAGCCAAAUUCCGCAGGUGCAAUUGCAUCAGUAGGCAGCAGCAAGUUUCAAUUGUUCUAUGUCCAAAUUUGAUCCGUUAACCAUCUUAAACUCACCCGAGGCCCAAAGAAUCUCAACCAAAUAUACCAACAACUCCUAAAACAUCAUACGAAUUUAGUCAAAACCUCAAAUCACAUCAAUCAAUGCUAAAACCAUGAAUCAUACUCCAUUUCAAGCUUAAUGGACUUAAGAUCUUUCAACAUCUACAUUCGAUGCCGAAACCUAUCAAAUCAAGUUUGAUUGACCUUAAAUUUUGCACACAAGUCAUAAAUGACAUAACAGACAUAUUGAAAUUUCCAGGAUCGAAUUCCGACCCCGAUAUCAAAGAGUCAACUUCCCGGUCAAACUUUCAAACUCAAAUUUCUAUUUUAGCCAUUUCAAGCCUAGUUUAACUAUGGACCUCCAAAUAAUUUUUCGGGCACGCUCCUAAGUCCAAAAUAAUCAUACGAAGCUAUUGGAAUCAUCAAAAUUCUAUUCCGGGGAUUUUUACACAUAGGUCGACAUCUAGCCAACCUUUUCAACUUAAACUUUCAUCUUGGAGACUAAGUGUCUCAUUUCAUUUCAAAAUCUCACCGGACCCGAACCAAUUACCCCGUCAAGUCAUAUAACAACUGUAAAGUACAAAUUGAGCAGUAAUUGGGGAAAUAACGCUGUAAUACUCGAGAUGACCGGCCGAGUCAUUAUAUUCUCCAGCUCUUAAACAAACGUUCGUCCUCGAACGGGCUUAGAAUUAUACAUGGAGUGGUGAAAAUAUGAGGAUAACUGCUGCACAUAUCAUGCUCGGUCUCCCAAGUCACCUCCUCGACUGGAUGACCCCUCCACUGUACUUUUACUGAAGCAAUGCUCUUUGAUCUCAACUUUCUAACCUGUCUGUCCAAAAUAGCCAUUGGUUCCUCAACAUAAGAUAAAUCCUUAUCCAAUUGGACUGAGCUGAAGUCUAACACAUGAGGUGGAUCGCCGUGAUACUUCUAGAGCAUGGAAACAUGGAACACUGGAUGAACUGCAGUGAGAUUAGGUGGUAAUGCAAGUCUGUAAGCCACCUCCCCAACUCUCUCAAGGAUCUCAAAAGGACCGAUAUACCUAGGGCUCAACUUUCCUUUCUUCCCAAAUCUCAUAACACCCUUCAUGGGAAAAAUUCGAAGCAAGACCCGCUCACCAACCAUGAAUGCAACAUCACGAACCUUUCGGUCCGCAUAACACUUUUGUCUAGAUUGGGCUGUACGAAGUCGAUCCUGAAUGAAUUUAACCUUUUCCAAAGCAUCUUGAACCAAGUUCGUACCUAAUAGCCUAGCUUCACCCGGCUCGACCCAACCCACUGGAGACCGACACCGUCUACCAAAUAAGGCCUCAUACACCGCCAUCUGAAUGCUCGACUGAUAACUGUUGUUGUAAGCAAACUCCGCAAGUGACAAGAACUGAUCCCAAGCACCCCCAAAAUCUAUCACACACGCGCGAAGCAUAUUCUCCAAUAUCUAAAUAGUACGCUCGGACUGUUCAUCCGUCUGAGGGUGAAAUGUUGUACUCAACUCUACCCGAGUACCCAACUCACGCUGUACGGCCCUCCAGAAUCAUGAUGUAAACUGUGUACCCAGAUCAAAGAUGAUAGAUAUCGGUACGCCAUGAAGCUCGACGAUCUCACGAAUAUAAACCUGAGCCAACUGCUCCGAAUAGUAACUAGUAACUAUAAGAAUAAAAUGAGUUGACUUGGUCAAUCUAUCCAUAAUUACCCAAACUGCAUUGAACUUCCUCUGUGUCCGUGGGAGACCAACAAAGAAAUUCAUAGUGAUCUGCUCCCAUUUCCAUUCUGGAAUCUCUAGCUUCUGAAGCAAUUCACCUGAUAGCUGAUGCUCAUACUUCACCUACUAGCAAUUUAGGCACCGAGAUACAUAUUCCACUAUGUCUUUCUUCAUCCUUCUCUACCAAUAGUGAUGUCUCAAGUCCUGAUACAUAUUUGCAGCACCCGAAUGAAUGGAGUACCGCGAACUGAGAGCCUCUUGGAGAAUCAACUCACGUAAACCAUUUAUAUUGGGCACACAUAGUGUCAUGACCCAAAUCGAUGGGCCGCGACAGGCACCCGGUACCUUACUCAAUUGAGUACCAACGUAACGUAUCUUUCUUAUUACAUAAUCAUAUACACGUGACAUACAGGCCUAAUAGGACAACAUGAUCAUUUAUAAACUACAAACAUAGGCCGACAAGGCCGUACAAUCUUUCACGUACACGACAUUUGUCUAUAAGCCUCUAAGAGUACAUAAAUGUUAUAAAGGCCGGGACAGGGCCCCACCAUACUAAUCAGUACAUGUCCUAAUCAUACUGACCACAUAAGCAACUCCGGAGCAAAUGGAGCACACCAACACCUUCCGUUGAACUGAUAGCCUACUUGGAGGACUCUCGACCUGUCUAUCAGGACCCGCGGACAUGAAAAGCAGCGUCCCCAAGUAAAAGGGACGUCAGUACAAAUAAUGUACUGAGUAUGUAAAGCACAUAAAUAAGUACAUAACAGACAUGGAAGAAAUAUAGAGUAAAUGACUCCACCUGUAAGUCUGGAUAACUCUGUAAAUUAUGAAAUAAUUAUAGUGUCAUGCAUAAACGUAUGGAUGUCAUGUUAUGCAUAGGUACAUGUUUCAUAACAUCAUCAGGCCUCUGAGGGCAUCCAAUCAUAUCAUCUCGGCCAUUGUGGGCAAAAUCAUCAACGUAUACCAGCUGAUCAGGUGGUGGUGUGUAUAUAACGCCGUAAUCCUUUCCCAUAUCCCAUAUACAUACAUACAUACAUAUAUAUAUAUAUAUACACACACACGUAUAUAACGCCAUAUAGUCAUGGGUCAAUGUAAAUGAAUGCAAUGCAUGAGACGUACGUCAAUAAAAUCUUCCGGAGUGUCAUAAGACCAUUAUGCCUUUGAUUAAUUUCACGAAAUAAACUUUAUCAACUUACGUAUUUUUUGAAACCCAUGAACUGAUGAUAAAAUAAUGGGACACAUGAAGAAUCAAGAACAUAGGCAUUUCUACGAAUAGAGUCAUUUAUGGAAGUUGUACAUUUUUUCAUUUCGUUUGUAUCGUAUAGAUCAUACCAAAAGAAAUAAGGGAUAGCCUUAACAUACCUUUAACGCCAACUUUCUACUUGUAUCCAUGAACAAUCCCCUCCAUCUUGUAUGCCAAAAGUAGUCUUCUUCCACCUUACUUUAUUACGAUGAAAUCUCCAAAUUUCUAUCAUCCGGAGGAAACCGUUGUGGGUAUAACAUCUAUGGUCAUUUGCGUGGUCUAACUACAUGGCGGCUUUAACAUAAUAACAU